CGUUAUGACCGCUCGAACCGCUCGGCGGCAGCUGCGCGGGCGUUUCUUUGCCAGUUCGUGUACGGGGGCCAAAUCAGUAAAGGGCUGGAAGGGGCAGAGCCGGCGGGCACACACCGGCCCGCACCGCCAGCGCCCCGCGGGGUAGGGCUCGGUCCCAGGCACCGGGACCUGCGGGCGGCCACGGAGGAGCACGGAGGGGGCAAGUCGGGGCACGAUCCCGGCAGGACCGGGGAAGGCGCGGCCCGGCUCGGCCCGGCGGUACAAGAGCGCGGAGCAAGGCCACCCCGGGGUCUCUCACCGCCUCGCAGCGAGCACUCCGGGCGCUCCUCCACAGCGACUGCACGUCGGCGCCGGGCGCCGCCAGGUCCGUGAACAUGGUGAGGCCGGGAUGUGAGAGGGGGUCCCGGCGGGAUCGAGAAUCCCGGAGCUUUGGGGGUCGAGGCCCGUCCCGCUCCCACCGCAGGCUCCGCCGGUUCCCAUGGAAACGGGCGAUGCGCGAUGACGUCACCCGAGCGACGAGCCCGCCGGGCCGUGGGCGGUAAAGUGAGUCGGGCGGAGCCAUGUUGGGGACGGGCACGGAGGGGCUGUGCUGGGCGGGCGGCGGCUCCGUGCGGGAGAGGGGCGCGGGCUGUCCCCGGCACUGUCACUAAUGCUGAAAGAUUAUCACCUUCUCAAAAGCACAUGGAAGAUGAAGAGAAGCAGAAUAUCUUGUACAGACAAAUUGGAUGUGUCAGUCAGUGACAGUCUGGGACUCAGAAACCACAGAAGGAACCACCGAUGCAGCCCAUUUCGGUAACUUUUUUCUUCACUAUAUAUGUAUUUGUUCCUAACACAAAAACUGAUCUCAGACCCACUUUAAAAAAAAAAAAAGAGUGAAAACAUGACAAAACAGGGCUUAAGCUGCAUGACUGUGGCUCUCUGUGGAGGAGUGUAAAAGACAAUUGCCCCAAUUACAUGCUGGUUUUGGAACUCCGUGAAGCCUAAGCCUAUUGAAAUAUAUAUUUGGGAGUGGAGGGGAGGGAGGAUGCUCUGGAAUGAGGCCUGGAGCUGGAAUGCUGUCGUAAAGGCAGCAGGAGGAGGGAGAGCCAUAAACUGGCUGCGAUCCCCAAAUUUAAAAAAAGGUCCGGAAACAUUUUAAUGCCAGAUUAUGUGACACCUUUCAGUCCUGGUUUUUAUUUUUUUUCUUUUGUCCUUAGUUCUCCAUCUAGUUGACUGAAACUUUUCCUAUUUAUGCCCCCAACUGUGCAAGCUGGGUUGACUAAAGGCAUUUUUAUUUUUCUCUACUCCAGCCUGACAAAGUCCUACUUAUGCAACAGCUUAUACCUUUAAUAACAGCGAUAUAACUGCAUCAGAACUAAAAAAAACCACCCAGAUUUCUUAGCACCAAGGCCUGAGAGAACUUGCUGCUGUGCUGGGAUGUGACAGGAGGCAAUUUAUAAGGAAUUAACUCUGACAGUCACUUUAUACAGCUGAUUUUCAAAGAUCUAGGCACUAAAGAUGUGUUAAUGAGGGUACCGAGGCUUCAUAAUUAAUUAUAUUAGCAUCUCUUUGUUACUCCCUACAACAGGAGUGCCUAGUUGACAUUUCAAUGGGAGGCUGGUGGUGUUCUUUGGGAUUAUUAUCCAGGAGUGCAGUUAUACCUUAGCUCCCAGAGGGGAACUUGCAUGGAAAUGCCGCUGUGAAUUGGAAGGGCCUUUGGAUCUCAGGAAAAGCCCUUGAAGGAGGCUCUGCUGGAAACUGAAUGGAUGUCAGGAAAAUUUCUCUAGCCUGGAAUCUCUCUUCAGAUAUGGACUCUCCUCCCCCUUCAUUUCUGCUUUCCCUUCCUUCCCUCCCCCCUUCCUUCCCAACCCACAAGGCUUAAGAGCCGCAACAUCCAGCUCUUACUGAAGGUUUAGUUCCAAACCCCUAAAGGAAGGAAUACUGACCUGAACGAAACAGAGAACAAAGUAACCUGAAAACAGGGAAUAUUUUCACAGGCUUGAGUUUUCAGUGCAGUAAAGCCAGAGCUGCCAGAAGGAGUCCCAGAAGUGGUGAGUCAGAUAAUAAAUGUACGGCUGUGGUGGGAGGGAAAUGGUCUCGACUUUGUUUAAUCCCACCCCCCCUUAGAGAGGCAGAUGAAAUUAUUUUCCAGUCAUAACCCUGUGAAAACAAGCAUGGAGUUUAAAGGUUAUUUCCUUUGUUUUGACUCUGAAAAGGGAAGGAUGAUGAUUUGUCAAUGAUCUCAAAUUCUGCUCUAAAAGUUUUUCCAGGAUCACCUGAGGAGGCAGAGCUGCUGUUUUGUUUAUUGAUAUAUUCCACUUGCUUGUGUUAAUUUAAACAAAACUUACAAAAAAAAUAGCUAUUUUUUCACACCAGUUGCAAUUAGAACCUUGUCAUGGUUGGGCUCGGUUAAGGGCAGUUGGACAAACACCUCUAAGUGAGACUUGUGCAACAUGUUCCUCACUCCUUCAUUACUCCCUUCAAGGGACUCUCUUUCUUGUGACAUUGUUCAUGCAUCUGCACCAGGGAACCAGCUCAGCGUACUAGUCUAAGUUAAAAAUAAAUGGAGUUUAUGGGGACUAUUUCUAAUUGAAAUCAGUUCCCUGAUUCAAUUUAACAUAGGGCUGCACCAGGAAAAAAAAAGCACUGGCACAAUGCAGGGACAGUGUGAAGGGGAAGAGGAGUGUGUGGUGGGGAAUGCAUAAGUAGGAAUUUCUACCAAAAAAUAGGUUGUCAAACUAUGUCCUGAAAGACUUUACAUUCCUCCAUGCCAGAGCCACCUCUCUGCUUUGUGAGCAGGUAACACCUUGCAGGACUCUCAGGACUCUCGGAGCUAUAUAAUGCCAAAAAAUAGUAACUGUUCCUACAGACUGACACAAUUAACCAAAUUCCACUCCCAGAUCUUCACUGUCGGCAACUCGUGCAGCACUUUCUGCAGCCCAAGUUGGAGCCCUGUCCUGUUCCUGAGUUUUGUUUCCAGCUCUAAUGAGCAAUAACUGAAUAACUCUGGCAUUCUGUUCACCUACCAGGAAAAGAAUUACUUUCCUCACAGAGCUUCUUAUAUUUAACUAGAUUUUUUUAAUGAGCUUUGACAUUCUCAGAUGAAAAGAACAAUGUGUACAAUGUCUAUUACAGCAAAACCUGUAUAUGACAGAUUCCUACAUGUUUGCCUGUCUUUUGUCUCACCUUUCCUGUCACCACACUCCUACACGGGCCUCAAGACACGCUGCAAAUGUUUGAGUGAUGCCAACUUCAAACCCCAGAAUUGUCAUUAACAUCCUCACUCUUCACUGAGCAAUGUUGUGUUUAUUUUAAUCUGAUGCUUUUUGGAUAGAGACAGAGGUUACUCCCCCUGAGAGUUCAAAUAUCAAUAGUGCUCUGCAUCACAAGGGAAGUUUUUAAUGAUUCCCACAAAACCCGCUGCCACUUGGUAAGAAGACAAUGGAUGAAAUACGCAGAGUGUAAAAUCUGUCUCUACUGCUAUUCCUGAGGGACCAAAUCUAGAAGUGUUACUCAACUUUGCUUAGGAUUCAGCAAGUUUUCCUGCUGCAGGACUGAGGAGAUGAUAAAUAAGAGUUUGGAGAAUUGGCCAGAGUUAAAAUCCUGGAAAGCAAACAUUUAUAAAUUGUCUCUGUAGAAAUGUUGGCUCCCUUUUAAUUUCCCUGUGAGUGGAGAAGAGGGAGGGGAUCUUCUGUACAUCUCCUUGCAGGAGAACCCACAGAAGCACAAAGUAUAGUUUUUCCUUAGUUAUCCUAAAGCUUCAAUUCAGGAUUCAUUUCAAUUUUUACUACUGUCACUUCCAUGCUUUUUUAUCUAUAUUUAUUGUGUUUCCUUAGAAAUCCUCUCUAGCACAAGAGCUUCUGAGAGGAAAUUCAGCCUUGCUUCAGAUAGAGCAUCACUGAAGGAAACUGAGGAGCUACUUCCCCUGGGAAUUAUUUCAGGGCCUUCUACAUAAAAAUUUGGUUGGCACAAGUAUUCCAGAAUAACUCCCAGUAUAAAUCCUCCGGUAUUCCAGUUUGAAAGUGUAUUUAUUUGUGAUUGAUCAUUCUACCUAGGAAUACUUCUUGUCAGUGCUCAGUUUUUCUCAUGAGAGCUUUCAUUACACAGAGCAUCUGUAGCAAAAUAAAGCCUCAGAUGGAGACACAAACCCAACCACAACAUAUACCAUUUAAUCACCAGCUGAUUUCAAAUAAACAUCUGGUUUUUCAAA